rnacentral:tRNA from 1 species
UGGCGUAGCGCGCAAAGCCUCGGCUUGCUAAGCCGAAGGUCUCGGGUUCGAUUCCCGG